AAAAAAUUAGUUAAUAUAAAUAACAUUAGAAUGUCAAACUAAAAUAAUCAAAAUUUUGAUAUUUUUUA
rnacentral:tRNA from 1 species